AGGAAGGUCAGCUAAUUAAGCUUUUGGGCUCAUGCCCCAAAAAUGCAGGUUUAAAUCCUCCCCUUACUA
rnacentral:tRNA from 1 species